rnacentral:rRNA from 1 species
UACGUAGGGGGCAAGCGCUGUCCGGAUUUACUGGGCGUAAAGAGCGUGUAGGCGGCCAAGCAGGUCCGUUGUGAAAACUGGAGGCUUAACCUCCAGACGUCGACGGAAACCGCGUGGCUAGAGUCCGGAAGAGGAGAGUGGAAUUCCUGGUGUAGCGGUGAAAUGCGCAGAUAUCAGGAAGAACACCAAUGGCGAAGGCAGCUCUCUGGGACGGUACUGACGCUGAGACGCGAAAGCGUGGGGAGCGAACAGG